CGGGGGGGCAAGCGUUGUUCGGAAUUACUGGGCGUAAAGGGCUCGUAGGCGGCCAGCUAAUCAGACGUGAAAUCCCUCGGCUUAACCGGGGAACUGCGUCUGGUACUGGAUGGCUCAAGUUUGGGAGAGGGAUGCGGAAUUCCAGGUGUAGCGGUGAAAUGCGUAGAUAUCUGGAGGAACACCGGUGGCGAAGGCGGCAUCCUGGACCAACACUGACGCUGAGGAGCGAAAGCCAGGGGAGCAAACGGGAUUAGAUACCCCGGUAGUCCUGGCCCUAAACGAUGAAUGCUUGGUGUGACGGGUAUCGAUCCCUGUCGUGCCGAAGCUAACGCAUUAAGCAUUCCGCCUGGGGAGUACGGUCGCAAGGCUG
rnacentral:rRNA from 1 species